rnacentral:rRNA from 1 species
GUAUAGGCAAUAGAAAAGACCCUUGCCACAAUGGAGAUUUGUAUCAUAAGGGAAAGAUGAAAGAGUAAUGAAAAACUGAAGCAAUAAAUAGCAAAGAUAAACACUUGUACCUCUUGCAUCAUGAUUUAGCAAGAACAACAAACCAAAAUGAGUUUAAGCUUGCUAUCCCAAAACCCAAGAGAGCUACUUACAAGCAGCUAUCACUGAGCAAACCCGUCUGUUGCAAAAGAAUGGGAUGACUUGUUAGUAGAGGUGAAAAGCCAAUCAAGCUGGGAGAUAGCUGGUUGCCUGUGAAAUGAGUCUAAGUUCUCUCUUAAUUUUUCUCCACAGACAUUCAAUCUAGCCCCCAUGUAGUAAAUCAUGAGCAAUUUAAAGGGGAUACCGCUCCUUUAAAAAAAGACCACAAUGUCCCCUAGCAGAUAACUACUUAACUCUUAUUCCCCACACUGUAGGCCUUUAAGCAGCCACCAACAAAGAGUGCUUCAAAGCUCCACACCUAAAAGUCCAAAACCAAUACGACUCCCUUAUCACCAAUAGGCUAACCUAUAAUAAUAGAAUUAAUGCUAAAAUGAGUAACUAGGGGCCUCCCCCUCUCAAGCACAAGCUUACAUCAUCACAUUAUUAACAGAUUACAACUAAUAUCUCAGUUUUAACAGGAUUAGAUAUUAAACCCACCCUGUCAACCCAGCUCAGGAGUGUCUACUAGAAAGAUUAAAAUCUGUAAAAGGAACUAGUCAAACUCAAGGCCUGACUGUUUACCAAAAACAUAGCCUUCAGCUGACCAAGUAUUGAAAGUGAUGCCUGCCCUAACCCUAACUGUCUCUCACAGAUAAUCAGUAAUUUGAUCUUCCUGUGCAAAAGCAGGAAUAUAUAGAUAAGAAAACCCUGUGGAACCUAAAAAUAGCAGCUACUACACACAAGCUCAAGCCCACCGUGUUCACUAUCCCCACCCCACCCCAAAAUGCUGGCCCGCAUUUUUUGGUUGGGGUGACUUUGGAGAAAAACAAAUCCUCCAAAAAUAAGACCACACCUCGUAACCAAAAGCAACCCCUCAAAGUACUAAUAGUGACCAGACCCAAUAUAGUUGACUAAUGGACCAAGCCACCCGGGGAUAACAGUGCAAUUCUACUCCUAGAGCCCAUAUAGACAAGGAAGUUUACAACCUCGAUGUUGGUGCAGCUGCUAUUAAGGGUUCAUUUGUUCAACGAUUAACAGUCCUACAUGAGCUGAGUUCAGACCAGAGCAAUCCAGGUCGGUUUCUAUCUAUGAUGAACUUUCCCUAGUACAAAAGGACUGGAAAAGUGAGGCCAAUAGUACAAGCAUGCCUCCCUCUAAGUAAUGAACUCAACUAAACUACCAAGAGAGCCCCCAUACCACUCCCUGUCCUAGAAAAGGACUGCUAGCAUGGCAGAGCUCAGCAAAUGCAAAAGGCUUAAGCCCUUUACCC